ensembl:lncRNA
AAAAGCUCCACUGAGAUUUUUCAUGCGUUGCUCUUAUAUAACAUGAUCUCAUUUUGUUUUACAUUAUGUGACUAUGUGAACCAUUGUGAUGUAUGUGCACAUCGAUAAUGAACUAAACUGAUGACAGUUUGAAUAUUUGCAUUAGCCUUACUUUUAGAGAGAUAAAAGAUUAUCAAUUGCUACAAAGAAGACAACCUAGUAAAUUUUGUUGAAUUUGGAUAUGAAGCAUUCUAAGAGUACUGAUUUUAUAAUCUUUCACUCUGUUUGUGUGAUCUCAACAGGAUGUCAUUCUACUUGUAGAGUUCAUCCAGGCUUGUAGGAAUUCAUCCAAUUGUCAUGGAGUCAUCAGCAAUGCCAGAUCCUUCAGCCCCACCCACUCGUUCACAAUCACCAAAGUUCUGAUUCUCCUCACCUGUCUGCACUAAUCUACCACAGUAUAAAGCCACCUUCCUGUCACCACCUCAGUGUCUGGUCUUGUUGUUAAUUUUUGAAUCAACUUACCAGAUUUGCGCUAUGAUCCUGUCAUAUUAAGUCCUCUGCUCAGCAUUCUAGAUUCCCCAUGACCCUGCAAAUCAAGGACAGUGUUACUGCUCCGACCAAACCCAACAUGCAAAACCACACAGAGCCAAGCAGCACUCAGAGCCCAGAUCUGUUUGCUGAGCUCGCACAGGCCAUCCAUCAGUCUCUUCAGCCACUCUCCACCACUGUUUCACAAUCUGUGAAUGCAGCAGAUUCCUGCUCCAAUGCUUGCAUUUUAUAAUCUCGGCUCUCUCCAAAUAUCCACCUGGCCAAGAUUCUUACAAGUAUUUUGCAAAAUGUGAGGACUUGCAACUAAUUAAAAUGUGGGUUGAGGAUUUAUCUAGAUAUUCAUCAAGGACACAAUUAAAGUCACCUCCUAAAAAUUUAAUGCUCUUGCAAUGCCGAUUAAUCUAACAUCACAUACGACAGUUUGUGACAGCAAUUUGGAGCAUAUACGUUCCUACAGUGAUAUGUCGUCCAAGAAUGAAACCAGAACUUAAUGCAAAUUUUCAAAAUCAUAUUCUGUAGGCUCAAGAAUAAAUGUAGUUUUUAUGAAUGGGAAUUGCA